UACGUAGGGGCUAGCGUUGUCCGGAAUCAUUGGGCGUAAAGCGCGCGUAGGCGGCCCGGUAAGUCCGCUGUGAAAGUCAAAGGCUCAACCUUUGAAUGUCAGCGGAUACUGCCGGGCUAGAGUCCGGAAGAGGCGAGUGGAACUCCUGGUGUAGCGGUGGAAUGCGCAGAUAUCAGGAAGAACACCAACGGCGAAGGCAGCUCGCUGGGACGGAACUGACGCUAAGGCGCGAAAGCGCGGGGAGCGAACAGG
rnacentral:rRNA from 1 species